GCGUCCGUGCCCGAGCGGCCCAAGGGAACGGCCUGCAAAGCCGUACAGUCAUCGGUUCAAAUCCGAUCGGGCGCU
rnacentral:tRNA from 3 species